GACGAACGCUGGCGGCGUGCCUAAUACAUGCAAGUCGAACGCAGUGGGGACGGGUGAGUAACACGUGGGUAACCUCCCAUCAGAGGGGAUAACACUUGGAAACAGGUGCUAAACCGAUACUGCUGGAUGGACCCGCGGUGCAUUAGCUAGUUGGUGAGGUAACGGCGCACCAAGGCCACGAUGCAUAGCCGGCCUGAGCGGGGGGUCGGCCACCGUGGGACUGGGCCAUGUCCCUGACUCGCACGGGAGGCAACAGGAGGGAAUCUUCGGCAAGGGACGAAGGACUGUCCGGGCAACGCCGCGUGAGGGAAGAGUGUUUUCGAGGCGUAAAACUCUGUUGAUAGAGAAGCGGGAUCAAACCAGAAUACCACGGGUAACUACGUGGAAGCAGCCGCGGUAAUAC
rnacentral:rRNA from 1 species